AAUCAACGCUGGCGGCGUGCCUAACACAUGCAAGUCGAACGCGAAAGCCCUUUCGGGGGUAAGUAGAGUGGCGUCCGGGUGAGUAACACGUGGGUAAUCUGCCUCCGGGUGGGGAAUAACCAGUCGAAAGAUUGGCUAAUACCGCAUAAUGCAGCGGCACCUAAUGGUGAUUAGUUGUUAAAGAGGGGGACCCUUCGGGGCCUCGCGCCUGGAGAGGAGCCUGCGGCAGAUUAGCAGUUGGUGAGGUAACGGCUCACCAAGGCUUCGAUCUGUAGCUGGUCUGAGAGGACGGCCAGCCACACUGGCACUGACACACGGGCCAGACUCCUACGGGAGGCAGCAGUGGGAAUUUUGGGCAAUGGGCGAAAGCCUGACCCAGCAACGCCGCGUGAGGGAGGAAAUCCUUCGGGAUGUAAACCUCACAAGCAAGGGAAGAGCGCUACGGGCUGAAUAAU
rnacentral:rRNA from 1 species